CCUACGGGAGGCAGCAGUGAGGAAUAUUGGUCAAUGGCCGGAAGGCUGAACCAGCCAAGCCGCGUGAAGGAAGAAGGUACAGUGGUUUGUAAACUUCUUUUAUCGGGGAAUAAAGGUAUGCACGAGUGGACAGUUGCAUGUACCCGAAGAAUAAGCAUCGGCUAACUCCGUGCCAGCAGCCGCGGUAAUACGGAGGAUGCGAGCGUUAUCCGGGUUUAUUGGGUUUAAAGGGUGCGUAGGGUGUGUUUUAAGUCAGCGGUGAAAGUUUGUGGCUCAACCAUAAAGUUGCCGUUGAAACUGGAAGCCCUGAGUGUGUUUGAGGUAGGCGGAAUGCGUGGGGUAGCGGUGAAAUGCAUAGAUAUCACGCAGAACUCCGAUUGCGAAGGCAGCCUUCCAAGGCAUAACUGACACUGAGGCACGAAAGUGUGGGGAUCGAACAGGAUUAGAUACCCGGGUAGUC
rnacentral:rRNA from 1 species